UGUAUCCCAUGUGACCGCUCU
rnacentral:miRNA from 1 species